UUUUUAUCAAAUGAAACAUGAGGGGUGACACUGUCAUUUUUCUUUGGUCGUCAGGAAAAAAAACAUAAGGGGUAACACUGUUGUUUUUUAUUGGUCGUCAUGAAAAAAAACACAAGGGGUAACACUGUUGUUUUUUAUUGGUCGUCAUGAAAAAAAACAUAAGGGGUAACACUGUUGUUUUUUAUUGGUCGUCAUGAAAAAAAAACAUAAGGGGUAACACUGUUGUUUUUUAUUGGUCGUCAUGAAAAAAAACACAAGGGGUAACACUGUUCUUUUUAUUGGUCGUCAUGAAAAAAAACAUAAAGGGUAACACUGUUGUUUUUUAUUGGUCGUCAUGAAAAAAAACAUAAGGGGUAACACUGUUGUUUUUUAUUGAUCGUCAUGAAAAAAAAACAUAAAGGGUAACACUGUUGUUUUUUAUUGGUCGUCAUGAAAAAAAACAUAAGGGGUAACACUGUUGUUUUUUAUUGGUCGUCAUGAAAAAAAAACAUAAGGGGUAACACUGUUGUUUUUUAUUGGUCGUCAUGAAAAAAAAACAUAAGGGGUAACACUGUUGUUUUUUAUUGGUCGUCAUGAAAAAAACCACAAGGGGUAACACUGUUCUUUUUUAUUGGUCGUCAUGAAAAAAAAC
ensembl:lncRNA